GGGGAGAUUGCUCAGUGGAUAAGAGCACGUGCUCUGCAAGCAUGAGGACAUGAGUUCAAAUCUCCAUCACACGU
rnacentral:tRNA from 1 species